ACGACCACCGCCGUCUCUGCUGCUGCGGCUACCAUAUCGAUCUCCGUUCCUGUCAGGUCCACCUCUACCACCACCACCGCCAUACCGACCACCUCUACCUCCUUCACUAGGGCAUUCUCUGGCAAAGUGUCCUGGCUUACCACAAUUAUAGCAAUCUCCACCAGAUCCCCGCCCACCUCCAUAAUCACGGCCACCACGAUCGCGAUCACGACCGCGAUCUCGGUCACGGUCACGGUCACGAGGUCGAUCAUUAUCAAAAU
rnacentral:lncRNA from 1 species